GUGGGGAAUCUUAGACAAUGGGCGCAAGCCUGAUCUAGCCAUGCCGCGUGAGCGAUGAAGGCCUUAGGGUUGUAAAGCUCUUUCAGGGGGGAAGAUAAUGACGGUACCCCCAGAAGAAGCCCCGGCUAACUCCGUGCCAGCAGCCGCGGUAAUACGGAGGGGGCUAGCGUUGUUCGGAAUUACUGGGCGUAAAGCGCACGUAGGCGGACCAGAAAGUCAGGGGUGAAAUCCCGGGGCUCAACCCCGGAACUGCCUUUGAAACUCCUGGUCUUGAGGUCGAGAGAGGUGAGUGGAAUUCCGAGUGUAGAGGUGAAAUUCGUAGAUAUUCGGAGGAACACCAGUGGCGAAGGCGGCUCACUGGCUCGAUACUGACGCUGAGGUGCGAAAGCGUGGGGAGCAAACAGGAUUAGAAACCCCAGUAGUCC
rnacentral:rRNA from 1 species